GACACAGAGAGCUGUAAACCUUAAAAGCAGCCAUUUAUUGCCACACACUGAACUAACCAAAAACCAGCCAAAACUGGCUGGGCUUUCCCCUAAUAAUCUACAUCAACUGCCAUAGCCACAACAAGAUUCUAAUACCACAACAACCAAAUGCACAACAGAAUGGACACUGCUACCUGAAAUUUCCAAUUAGAGGUGCAGAGGUGCAGAUACACCUACAGUGGAGCACUCUUAGAGACACUACUCAAAGAAGAAGGGAUAGCUAAAUCUCAGUUCUGCCCUACAUCGUCAGUCCUGAGAGAUAGUAGAGAAGUGAAGGAUUCUUAUAAGAAAAUUCAAACUUACUUCAGGCUCCUUUUUAAUCCCUGCUUCAAGUAUCUUGCAGCUAACAAGAUUCACAUGUGAGGAAUUAAAGGCUGCCCAAAGAGCUGAAGAGCCAGACGCAUGAGUUCUACAUCUAACAACAAUUUGAGAGAGAAAUGAUCACUAUCCAUUCUGAAUUAUCUGGAGGAAGUAAAAUGUUCCUCAAUUACAAUACUCAGAAGUGAAAUCUUUUAUACGUACGAUGCAGAUAGUAUGUAAAAUUUUAAGUCCCAACUGUAACCAAACUAAUUUAACAAGACCACCAUAAAACUGGUAUACAGUAAUGACAACACUCGUGGGGAUGUCUGCAAGGGAUAAAGGUGAAUCAGAUUAAGUCUUAUUAAACUAACUGGGUAUUAAAAUCACUUCAUCACCUUUCUUAAGGGAAA